AAAAAAAAAAAAAAAAAAAAGGAAUGUUAGCACUCCCAGUGAGCUAACAUUAUGGAGUUAUUCGUAUUUUCUUUCUUUCUUGAGUAGCAGGUAUCGAACGAAGGACGUUGUGCUUGCGGAGCAGACGGCGAAACCACUGAGCUAAAUCUUCGGCGGGCAAACUGUUCACCAGUAACAAUUUAGUCCUUGCUGGUUUCCAGGGGCGGAGGGAAGCCUCCGCUUCCCGCCUCUCGGCAGUCUCCACCUCCGCCCCAACGCGCCUUCCGCUGCCCCACUAGGUGGCGCCACUGCCGAGCCACACCCGCCCCCAGCCUGCACCUCUCUGAAGAUCCCGAGAAGCGGGAGCUCCCACCCUGGGCCACCUCGUCAGUCCGAGCCAAGGGCGGCACCAGUGAUGAAACUGCUCUGUGUGCUCAGCGCCUCGCUGUGAAACUUUAACCAGUACUCUGGAUGGCCCUCCAAUUUCAAUUAAUACGGACGUGUUUGGCAGGGUCGUGGAUUCUAGCUGAUCUCUGUGAGGACAGGAGGGCCUUCCCUGAGGCGCUCUGAAAGCACGUCUUUGGGCCACAGAAAAGAGCGCUGUCCUAGUGUCAGCAGGUCUGCAGGGGACAGAAGACGCCCCCGGGCACCGGCGCGCUCCCCGCCUGGCUCUGGAACCCUGGUCCAGAGCGGGACGAGUGCCCCACGUUGUCAGGUCUUUCUUCUGACUUUUCAGCCAAAGCUAGGAAUCAUGCCCGCGUCCUUCCAAGGCCAAAUGUUUAUGUAAAAUGUGCAAAAGAAAGAUAUGUCUGUAAUUGUUUAAGACUGCUAUGUGGUUCUACUUUGAUUUCCUCUCUAUUGUGAGGGGCCUUACAGGUAGGCCUGCAAGAUGGGUAACCCAAGCAAGAAUCGCUUGGCACCUCUGCCUUCGCUGUACGUGGCCCCCUUGUCACCUUCACACUGGAUCAGAUCCUUGCUCAGCCCCUCAGUAGGCACGUUGGCCACUGACGGACGAAGUUCAGCAGCCCUAAAUCCCCCCAGUCUAUCUUAUCCCACUUCGAGAUUGAGGAUGCCAAGUUGCCUGGGAUUCCGGGAAAAGCAGAGCCAGAAGACCGGAGGAUGAGAUCACACCCACCCCGAAGCAGGGAUAAUUACCCGGUGAUGGGAAUCGAGGUUGCCCAACAGACCCCCGGCGGUCAUCGCCCUCGUUUCUUUUCUACCCUCUAUAGAAUUGAUUUAUUUCGUUUUUAUUAGUACAUGUUUGCAGAAUAUAAUGAUUACA
ensembl:lncRNA